rnacentral:rRNA from 1 species
AUUGAACGCUGGCGGCAGGCCUAACACAUGCAAGUCGAACGAGUGGCGGACGGGUGAGUAAUGUCUGGGAAACUGCCUGAUGGAGGGGGAUAACUACUGGAAACGGUAGCUAAUACCGCAUACCAUCAGAUUUGCCCAGAUGGGUUUAGCUUGUUGGUGGGGUAACGGCUCACCAAGGCGACUAUCCCUAGCUGGUCUGAGAGGAAGACCUGCCACACUGGAACGGGGACACGGUCCAGACUCCUACGGAAGGCAGCAGUGGGGAAUAUUGUACAAUGGGCGCAAGCCUGCUGCAGCCAUGCCGCGUGUAUGAAGAAGGCCUUCGGGUUGUAAAGUACUUUCAGCGGGGAUGCGUUACCCGCAGAAGAAGCACCGGCUAACUCCGUGCCAGCAGCCGCGGUAAUUC